GUGAAUCAUCGAAUCUUUGAACGCAAAUUGCGCCUUUUUCUGAAGGCAUGUCUGUUUGAGUGCGCCAUUUAACAAAUAAUGUGCAGCGUUUUUUGUUGCACACGUUGAGGAGCUUUCCAAGAAUUUUAAAUUUUUGGUGGCGCAUAAUGAACAGCGUGAAGCUUGUUUUUCAGUUCGAGUGUAUUAAAAUGCUUGCUGGGGUUGUGAAAAGCGUAAGCGCGCAAGGGGUGUGGCGAUUUUAGGGAAUCGCUGCCCCAACGCCUCUCUUUCGCUCGAA
rnacentral:misc_RNA from 1 species